rnacentral:rRNA from 1 species
GAUGAACGCUGGCGGCGUGCCUAAUACAUGCAAGUCGAGCGAACGGACGAGAAGCUUGCUUCUCUGAUGUUAGCGGCGGACGGGUGAGUAACACGUGGAUAACCUACCUAUAAGACUGGGAUAACUUCGGGAAGCCGGAGCUAAUACCGGAUGAUAUUUUGAACCGCAUGGUUCAAAAGUGAAAGACGGUCUUGCUGUCACUUAUAGAUGGAUCCGCGCUGCAUUAGCUAGUUGGUAAGGUAACGGCUUACCAAGGCAACGAUGCAUAGCCGACCUGAGAGGGUGAUCGGCCACACUGGAACUGAGACACGGUCCAGACUCCUACGGGAGGCAGCAGUAAGGAAUCUUCCGCAAUGGGCGAAAGCCUGACGGAGCAACGCCGCGUGAGUGAUGAAGGUCUUCGGAUCGUAAAACUCUGUUAUUAGGGAAGAACAUAUGUGUAAGUAACUGUGCACAUCUUGACGGUACCUAAUCAGAAAGCCACGGCUAACUACGUG